CCGAGUACCGGAGCUUUCGGGUUCCUACUCCCACCCUAUGUUGACUUUGAAUGUUGCUUUGGCGGACCGGUGGUCUCACCGCCGGCCUAGGCUGGAGAGCGUCCGCCAGAGGAUUUCUAAACUCUGUUUAACCGUGAAUUCUGAGUCUUGAUAAAUUGAAUUA
rnacentral:misc_RNA from 1 species